AACAUUAACUAGACUACUUGUAUAAUUAUUAUUGUUUGAAAAUUGUCCCCAUCAUGCUCAUGGAAUCAACCUUCUCUGAGGAGGAAGGUAGAGAGAAUAAUUGUCUCAAACUCUAAAAAUUGUGAGAGUGAAUUCAUAUUUAAAGACAAUGAUUAUAAACACAAAGGCUUUUUGUAUUGCUGACAGUCACACCCUAAGAUGUAUAAGAAGAGGUCUCAGAGGUGUAGUUUCUGGGAUGUUUCUGAUAAACUGUAGGUUUCCAUUUGAUUGGAAGGCUGUACAGGUGGUUUGGGGGAUGCGCAGCGUUGCCUAACGUCACGCUCGGUGGUGGUAUAAAAUCCCCUGGGUUUGUCCUCCAGUCAUUCAUCUUGAGAAAAGCCGGAGGCAGCAUAGCUAUAUUACGCGUAAUUGUGGCUGGGAAGAAACCGAUAACAAGAUGACUAAAAUUGUUAUGGCUUACAUUGGAUUCCUUCUCCUUGCAAUGCAUUUUUCAUCACAGGUCCACGCGCAAAAGGCUAGCACACAGUCCCCUGCCAUGAAUGCUACGACCAAAGCUGGCGGCGCGAGUUCUAACAUGACCAAGAUGCCCGAUGUCGCCAAGAACAACACCAUUCCCAAAGGAGCCAGUGCGUCCUUGCAGUCCAGCUCGGUCGCGCUCAUCAUACCCAUCCUGGUGGGGGGCUCUCUACAGGGGCGCUUCUAGAGGGCUGUUGAUCACUGAACAGACACCGGCAAGACUGUAACAUCAGCUGCCUAGAUGGGGCAAACUGUUUUACUAAGGGUACAUACAAAAAAAAAUUCAGAAAGGCAGUCAUGUUCGCACAUAACCGAAGAGAUUCGGUCGAGUUGCGUGCCGGAGGAGAACCCGUUUCUACUUCACUGAUGGGAAUUAUUUACCCUCACACCUUCCGGCCGCUUCAAACCAGUAGGCCUACACUCCUCGCACACUGGCCCCAUGCCCAUAGGCCGACCGGUACGGUCCUCUCCAUGGAGGCAGUUCAUGAUAAGAUCAGUCCAUGAUGAGGAUGUACGGAACUCUGCACUUUGAACCGUUUGGUCCCGCUGUUCCAGUGUAGCACAGGGGGUAGUUUAGGAACUUAAGAAGUUAACAUGUCUAAAGAAAUGUUGGUUGAGGCACUUCGAAAAUAAGGUAUAAAUGAAUCUGUGGCACAUGCACGAACAGUGGUAUUUCUGCAACUGCAGUGACUACUUUGUCAGAGGCUUGAUGUACACUUGUGAUAUUUAUUUCUAGAAUAUGAGAUUGUUUGAGUUGGCAUAUGUGAGAUUUAAUUGUAUAAAUCAGUGCUGUGAUAUGCUUAGAUUAUUUGUUUUUAAGGCCUGUUUAAUUAAAGCUCUGAAAUAUAGAUUAAUCGUGACGCUUUUCUUAUAUAAUAAAAAUACUUUGACAUAAUUUUGACUUCUCCUGUCUGUAAAUUAUAAUGCUAGACCUGCCAAGUAAUUUGCUCUGUUCCACUGUCUCCAGCCCCUUUAUUGAUCACAUAGCUAAGACCAGGGAUUUACUCAGGUAGACUAGGUUUGAUGUGCCACAAUUUAAAUCCUUCUUUUAGAAUGGGUUAUACGAAUGUUUGCCUUUGGCCAGUUCUAGCAUUUAUGCCAUGUCAACUAGGACAUGACUUGUCUUGCAUUCCUUGUGGCCAAAACAGUGCAGUUUCCUGACAGUUGACUUGUCUGCUUUAAAUCGAGUUUACUUUACCCUAGCUACAUUGACCUUUGUCUCACCUUUCCAGAGGGGUCAUGGUGUGUAGACUGUUCAUAUGCUACAGACAAGUUGGAGGCUAUUCAGACUUCUCACAAGAUGGUUGUAGAGAAACGGAACGCUGUUGUGUUCGCGAGCUACGUGAGUAGACUGGUUUUCAGGAUGUCGCAUGGUUUUACAUACACUCACCUUUCACACCAGCACAUGCGGUGGAGUGACAACUCAUCCAAUGCAAAAAAAAAAUGGCUUAAACUGACUUUAUGGGGAUUCAAUGCUAAUUGACCUUAGGGGGGUUGAAAUGCUGUACAUUGUAGUAAUUUUCAAUUGGUUUUUG
rnacentral:lncRNA from 8 species